rnacentral:rRNA from 1 species
GACGAACGCUGGCGGCGUGCCUAGUACAUGCAAGUAGAACGCACAGUUUAUACCGUAGCUUGCUACACCAUAGACUGUGAGUUGCGAACGGGUGAGUAACGCGUAGGUAACCUGCCUGGUAGCGGGGGAUAACUAUUGGAAACGAUAGCUAAUACCGCAUCAUAUUGAUUAUUGCAUGAUAAUUGAUUGAAAGAUGCUAUUGCAUCACUACCAGAUGGACCUGCGUUGUAUUAGCUAGUAGGUGAGGUAACGGCUCACCUAGGCGACGAUACAUAGCCGACCUGAGAGGGUGAUCGGCCACACUGGGACUGAGACACGGCCCAGACUCCUACGGGAGGCAGCAGGAGGGAAUCUUCGGCAAUGGACGAAAGUCUGACCGAGCAACGCCGCGUGAGUGAAGAAGGGUUUCGGAUCGUAAAGCUCUGUUGUAAGAGAAGAACGGGUGUGAGAGUGGAAAGUUCACACUGUGACGGUAUCUGACCAGAAAGGGACGGCUAACUACGUG